rnacentral:rRNA from 1 species
AUUGAACGCUGGCGGCAGGCCUAACACAUGCAAGUCGAGCGGAUGAAGGGAGCUUGCUCCUGGAUUCAGCGGCGGACGGGUGAGUAAUGCCUAGGAAUCUGCCUGGUAGUGGGGGAUAACGUCCGGAAACGGGCGCUAAUACCGCAUACGUCCUGAGGGAGAAAGUGGGGGAUCUUCGGACCUCACGCUAUCAGAUGAGCCUAGGUCGGAUUAGCUAGUUGGUGGGGUAAAGGCCUACCAAGGCGACGAUCCGUAACUGGUCUGAGAGGAUGAUCAGGCACACUGGAACUGAGACACGGUCCAGACUCCGACGGGAGGCAGCAGUGGGGAAUAUUGGACGAUGGGCGAAAGCCUGAUCCAGCCAUGCCGCGUGUGUGAAGAAGGUCUUCGGAUUGGAAAGCACUUUAAGUUGGGAGGAAGGGCAGUAAGUUAAUACCUGGCUGUUUUGACGGUACCAACAGAAUAAGCACCGGCUAACUUCGUG